ACGGCGCCACGACCGUGGCCGCCCCGGACGAGAUGCGUGUCGUACCCGGCCCGACAAGACGACCGCCUU
rnacentral:ncRNA from 1 species